rnacentral:tRNA from 1 species
GUCUCUGUGGCACAGUCGGUUAGCACGUUCAGCUAUUAACUGAAAUGUUGGUGAUUCAAGCCCACCCAGGGGCU